UACGGGGGGGGCAAGCGUUGUUCGGAAUUACUGGGCGUAAAGGGCGCGUAGGCGGCUCACUAAGUCGGAUGUGAAAACUCUGGGCUCAACCCAGAGCCUGCAUCCGAAACUAUUGGGCUAGAGUUCUGGAGGGGAAAGCGGAAUUCCUGGUGUAGCGGUGAAAUGCGUAGAUAUCAGGAGGAACACCGGUGGCGAAGGCGGCUUUCUGGACAGAAACUGACGCUGAGGCGCGAAAGCUAGGGGAGCAAACAGG
rnacentral:rRNA from 1 species